rnacentral:rRNA from 1 species
AACGUAGGAGACAAACGUUAUCCGGAAUUACUGGGCGUAAAGCGUGCGCAGGCGGUUUUGUAAGUCAGUUGUGAAAUCCCCGGGCUUAACCUGGGAAUGGCAUUUGGGACUGCAAGGCUGGAGUGCGGCAGAGGAGAGUGGAAUUCCUGGUGUAGCAGUGAAAUGCGUAGAUAUCAGGAGGAACACCGAUGGCGAAGGCAGGUCUCUGGGCUGACACUGACGCUGAUGCACGAAAGCGUGGGGAGCAAACAGG